rnacentral:rRNA from 1 species
UACCAGCACCCCGAGUGGUCGGGACGUUUAUUGGGCCUAAAGCAUCCGUAGCCGGUUCUACAAGUCUUCCGUUAAAUCCACCUGCUUAACAGAUGGGCUGCGGAAGAUACUAUAGAGCUAGGAGGCGGGAGAGGCAAGCGGUACUCGAUGGGUAGGGGUAAAAUCCGUUGAUCCAUUGAAGACCACCAGUGGCGAAGGCGGCUUGCCAGAACGCGCUCGACGGUGAGGGAUGAAAAGCUGGGGGAGCAAACCGGG